ensembl:lncRNA
GUUUAUCAUUAUGGAAACAGAACCACUCGACUUUCUCUCCUCAUCCCUUUUGCCCAAACCACCCCUCCUGUAUCAGACUGUAGUGUCUGCUGGAAGCUCUUGGUCAGUCUGUGUCCUGUGUGUGCUCUCCUGUCCUCACUCCUCUCGUCCACCUGUGUGUACUGCAUCUGCAUCAACAGAACUAAAGCAGAAGCAGAAUCCGGUCAGGAAUAGAGGAACAGAAUACAGAGUCAGAAAAGCAGAACAAAUGAUGAG